GCCUAACCUUUCUACCAGGUCCCAUGCUCCGGACAGCUCUUUCUGCCUGAAGACAAGAGCAACUCCACUUUACCACCAGGUGCAGCAGCAACAGCCUUCUAUAGUGUCUCCAUGCCAGCCUCUAGCAUCUAGAUGUUCCCAGCUUUCUACAGUGCCCUGUAAGCUCGCACUCUCUCCCUCUGCCAGUGUCACAGGAGGGUCGGUUAGUGACACAUCCCUGAUCUUUCAACCUCCUGCCUCCCUCAACCGUGUAAUGUCCAAGUCCUAUAAUAGAUCUUUCAAUCUAUGAUGCUUAUCGUGGUUCUGCUUCCCAAUUCAAACCCUGGCUGAGAUGUGGUCUUAUGAGGGGACAUUCCAUGGUGUGCUGAAAGUCACCCCACAGUAUCCCCAUGAUAAACAUACAGAAUAGCUGUGAAUUUCUCUUAGAGAGCCCAGGACAUGAUCAAAACUGGAUUGUCUGCCAGGCUGAAGAGACCCCAGGGUGAACAGAAAACGAUGGAAGCUGCUCUCUGGCCUGCCAGCCAAUCACAUAUUCCUUUAAGACUACCUACCAUGCCAGUUCCGAACUCAGCUGCAGGCAGCCAUCAGGUACUUAUAAAGUAGCUGUCAUGACUGGGGAACUGAAUUUUAAAUUUUAAUUAAGUUUAAAUGUAAAAACUGAUAACUUGAGUCUGUUAUUGAAAAACCUUUAGGUAUGGCUCAGAACAACUUGGGUAUAUUUUCAAUUUGAAAUUUUAUGAAACCUAAAUCGGCCGGGCAUGGUGGCUCACGCCUGUAAUCCCAGCACUCUGGGAGGCUGAGGCAGGCAGAUCACUUGAGGUUGGGAGUUCGAGACCAGCCUGGGCAAUAUGGUGAAACCCCAUCUCCACCAAAAAAUAAAAAAAUUAGCUGGG
rnacentral:lncRNA from 10 species